UACCUUAUCAUCAAUCAUCAUUUUCUAGUUUCUACGUUUGCCUUUGCGACGUCUUGUGUUACGUACCUACCUACGAAGGUACCUACAAACAUAAAUGGUGCGAUAGUAAACUGUCUGUGACGUAUUAAUUUAACACGGAUGAAAAGAGGGAAAUAUAAAUCGGUGUUGAUAAAUUACUAAAUUAGUUUUUAAACUAAACAGACUCGCGGUGAACUUGUUUCUGUGGUGCUUAAAAAUGAACUACUGGUGUUUUCUAUUCAUAGGUGUUUUUCUUCUGAUAUUUGUUAAUGGAGCUGUUGUACCAGACAGUAAUGAUGUAGAACAGCAAGGGCUUUAUAGUAAGUCAGACCACGUAACUGUGUUAACUAACAGAAACUUUAAUAGAAAAAUAUAUGGUCAAAAAAAUGCUUACAUAGUCCAGUUUUACAACAGUUACUGCGGACACUGCCGCGCGUUUGCUCCGAAAUUUAAAAGCUUAGCUGCUGAUGUCUCUGCAUGGAAAAAUGUUAUAAAAUUGGCCGUCAUUGAUUGUUCAGUGGAGGAAAAUAAUGAAAUAUGUAGACAAUUUGAAGUAAUGGCAUAUCCAUCUUUACGCUAUUUACAUGAGUUCUACAAAAAAGGUAAUGCCUUUGUUGGGGAAAAAUUUCAGUUAGCAGAUACAGCAGAGAAACUAAGAGCUCAACUGAUAGCUAAACUGCAAUCUGAACAAUCUCUAGGCCGUCUAUCAUCAGCUCCUCUUCUCAAUAUAGCAGCUUAUGAAUCUUACACUACUGCCUUGAGUACUAUGUCCAAUGAUGUCAUAUAUACUUUCCUAGUUUUUGAAAAUGAAAAUUCUACUAUUGGUUCUGAGCUAGCUCUAGACAUUAAUGAUUAUGAGCAUAUUAAGGUUCUAAGAGUGCAAGAAAUUUGUGAGUUGGCCACAGUAGCGGGUGUUACAAGAUUUCCUGGAUUAGUUGCAGUUAGAUCAACAUUAGAACCAACACCACUCACACCAAAGAAUCCUACGAGACAAACCCUGCUUAAGGCUGUUAAUGCAUUUUUAAGGUCUAAAAAUUAUGUGUUGCCCGCUAGAGAUAUAGAAAUUGAUGACAACAAUGACAGUUUUAUUACUAAAGAUAAACCAGCACAAGAUCCUGAUUUUGUUUAUUAUACAGACCUAGAAAAAACACUUAAGACAAGUCUGCAUACAGAAAUAACUAGACAUAAAGUACUGAGUGGUGAACCAUUGCAAGCACUCCUUGAUUAUUUAGAUGUGCUUAUUGUAUCAUUUCCGGCUAGAUACAAUUUAAAAGAGUACCUUAUUGAGUUACGAAAUAUUCUGGGCAGAAAAUCUCAAUGGAGUGGAAGUGAAAUAUACGAAACUGUAAAAAGGCUAGAAAAUAAUUAUAAUACCGUUUUUUCACCGGAACUAGAAUAUAUAGGAUGCAGAGGAAGCCAACCUCAAUAUAGAGGUUAUACUUGUGGACUAUGGACAUUAUUCCAUACAUUAACCGUGAAUGCCGCACAACAACCUGGCAUAGAAGGCCCCAAAGUAUUGAAGGCAAUGCAUGGCUAUGUCAAACAUUUCUUCGGUUGCACUGAUUGCUCCCAGCAUUUCCAAAGUAUGGCUGCAAGGAACAGAAUAUUUGAUGUAAAAGAAAAUGACAAGGCUGUACUUUGGCUUUGGAUUUCACACAAUGAAGUAAAUUUAAGGUUGGCCGGAGACGUCACUGAAGAUCCUGAACACCCCAAGAUUCAAUUUCCUAGUGCUAUCAAGUGUCCUGAAUGCAGGCAGGCCCGAGGCGCCUGGAACUUACCCAAUGUGUAUCAAUAUUUGCAAAGGAUGUAUGGAGCCGACAACAUACAAGAUGCUAGAAGAGCGAGAUCCACAGCUGCAGCGCAAAGCCCUCUAUCAAACCUGGAUAUUGGAAUGCUAAGCCUUCUGUACAUAUUUUCUUUUCUUAUUCUCAUUUUAGUUAUUAAGUACUUCCUAUCUAAAAGAUUUUUUAGAAAACGUCGCUAUAAGCAUGCCUGGGGUAAAGUAUAACUUUACAACUAAAUCAAUCAGGCCCAUCUGAAUUGUGUAAGAUAUAUGAGUGAGAUAUGCAUGGUCAUAAGUCAUAACAUCAAUUUUUGUACAUAAAAUCACUAUUAUGCUAUUAUGUUAGGAAUGAAAAGAAUUUAAGUAAAUUAUCUAUUUAUUGAUUAGCUUUGAAUAAUGCAUUUAGGAAUUUUUACUAUGAACUUUGAUGUCUUUCCAUUAGUCAUAAUUUAAUUUUUAUUCUCUGAUAAACUUAUUCAAUUUUAACUUUCUCUUAUUUUAUCUUAUGCAAAAGAUAAACUGGUACUGAUUUAAUAUAGAUUAAUAUAAACGUACAGGUUACAUAUACAACUUGUAGUAAUAUUAUUUAUUCUAUUUGAUAAAGUGAAAGUUUAUUUCAACUUUCAAAUUGAUAAUGACCUACUUAUUAUAUAUUUGUAUAUAUUUAUAUUUAUUUCUGGCUAACAAAUGAUAUCUUCAAUUAACCAUCAUUCUGUAGUAUUUUCAACUUAUUUCUACUAUCUGAUCUCAUUAAAUCAUCAUCUCAGAAAUCAUACAUGAUUGCAUUUUAGUUGCAUUUGAAUAUGUAUAACUUAUUUUUAAUAGUCACUAGUUAAACGCCCGCGGCUUCGCCCGCUUUGUCUAAAACCUAAUAAAUUAUAUACUAAAACCUUCCUCUUGAAUCACUCUAUCUAUUAAAAAAAACCGCAUCAAAAUCCGUUGCGUAGUUUUAAAGAUUUAAGCAUACAAAGGGACGUAAGGACAUUGGGACACACGGACAGAAAAAGCGACUUUGUUUUAUACUAUGUAGUGAUAGUGAAGUAUUUUGAAAUUUUGUUUAACAAGAUUACUAAUUACUUAGUAUCUAGUUUGUGCCUUGAAAUAAAACAAGUGGAGCAUCACCAAUCUAAACAUGAUGAAUUAUAAAUGUAAUGAAAUCUGUAUUUUUUAUGGAUAGGAUGAUCUAAUAAUAAUUUAUAUUUAUUAUUUGGUUUAUUAAGUGUAAAGAUUAUUUGGGUAUAUAUAUUUUUAAUAAAAUAGAUAUUUACAAUUUUAUCUUUAAUAAAUAAAUUUUACUUCGGUUCAAUUACAUUCAUUGCUUUGAAUCACUAUUUGUUUUGGAAUUUUUAAUGAAGCUUUAAAUAGAGUAAAACAAUUGAAACCAUGAAAAAUUGGCAAUCAUGAUUAUUAAGUCUAUACUAGAGUAUUAGGUAACCUUUUAAUAUUUUAAGAAUUUAAUCUUUUUCAUUUUUUGGGAUGAUGAUUUUAAUUUUUACUAUGAAAAUAUACACACUAUUUUAUCAUGUUUAUACAUGUUUGUUUUUAAAAAGUUAAUUUAAAUUAUUUAUUAAAUUAUAUAAAAGUCGGUACUUUGCAAGAUUUUAGUUUAUAACAUUUGUAGCUCAAUCGUAGAACGGAUACUCAAUGGUAAUUAAUAAUUUUAAUGAUUGUUAUUCAUAAAGCUCAAUAUUCAAUUAAAAAUAAGAUAACAGACAACUUUUAUUAUAAUAGUUAUUAUAUAAUUUAAUGUAGUGAAAUUUACAAGGGGAAUUUUAUUCUUAAGAUUUGUAUUCAUAGAGAUUGGAAAUCGACAAUAGCAUGUACAUUAUAAUUUCUUUGAACAAUAAUUAUCUAUCAUAAACCGUUAUGAACUUAUUUAAUUUAUUAUCAUUUGGUGAAUAUUAUCCAUCAAGUUCACAGUUAAAUUGAAGAACCGUAAUCAUUAUUUCCAAGAUUAAAUUAUUUCAUUCCGAAUUUAUUGUUCCAAUUAAAUGGCAGCUAUGUGUAAUAAUGCAAUAUGUAUAAUUCAUUCCUAAAAAACAUUCGUACGUGUAUGCAUUCCGUAUUGUGAUUUAACAUAUCAUUUGUAAGCAUUAGAUUAAAUCAAUUAAAUAAUUAUUCAUGAGGUUAUACCAUGACCUUUCUGCAACAUUUGUUAUUGAUUGACACCCGGUAGAGUUUAAUAAUUUCAGCUAUAACUCAUUUUAGUUAAUUAAAGACUUAAAGCUGCCCUAGUAGAAAUUUAUAAAUAUUAAAUAAUUUAUUUUAAUAUAAUUGUUUUAAUUCAUGGCCGAUUAAUAUUAUUCUUUAAUUUAAGCAGUUUGCUUCAUCGCGUCUGGAGAGAAUCUUCUUUUAACUAGAGUCAGGUAUAUGGCUGCUUGACUAAUGCUCUAAGGAAGUAAUGAACAACGAAUAAUUUAUACAAGUUCUAUGGAAGAUUCGACCAGUGAUAAUCUCAUAUUGUACUAAAAUUUAGAUUCCAAUAAUAACUAGUUCUAAGCUUAAUGUGUUAUUUCUAUAAUGGCAUUCUAUUUAUUGCAUUAUCAAUGUAUCGAUCAUUAUAUAAAUAAUUGUGAAUAUAACUAAUAGCUGUAAAAUGUAAAUAAAACCUAUAUUUUUUGGCAA